GACGAACGCUGGCGGCGUGCUUAACACAUGCAAGUCGAACGGAAAGGCCUGCUUUCCCUUGUGGAUUGCGGGUACUCGAGUGGCGAACGGGUGAGUAACACGUGAGUGAUCUGCCCCCAACUUGGGUAUAAGCCUGGGAAACUGGGUCUAAUUCCCGAUAGGACUGCAGGGUGGUGCCUGUGGUGGAAAACGAUUUUCUAGUGGUUGGGGAUGAGCUCGCGGCCUAUCAGCUUGUUGGUGGGGUAAUGGCCUACCAAGGCGGCGACGGGUAGCCGGCCCGGGAGGGUUGAACGGCACAUUGGGACUGAGAUACGGGCCCGACUCCUACGGGAGGCAGGAGUGGGGAAUAUUGCACAAUGGGCGGAAGCCUGAUGCAGCGACGCCGCGUGGGGGAUGACGGGCUUCGGGUUGUAAACUCCUUUCGACCGCGAGGAAGCCACCUGGUUGGAAGGGUGGUGACGGUAGUGGUAGAAGAAGCACCGGCUAACUACGUG
rnacentral:rRNA from 1 species